rnacentral:sRNA from 1 species
UCCUAGCCCUGAUAGUAGUGGAAAUCCUUUUCUUUUUUUUCUUUAAAAAAGAAAAGAUUGCAACGGAUAGCAGGAUUAGCU